GUGAGUCAUAUUUAAAGCUCAAAAUCUAGGCGAAAUUUUGAAUUGUCAUGAUUUUCAGAGAGCAGUAAAGGAGCAAAAAAUAAAGAGAAUGUCAUCUAGGAGUUAAGAGUCAGAAAGGGGAGGAGAAAGGGACAUAUCGUAAUUAGCAACUUUCUGUAGUGCAGAGGGGCUGAACGAGGUUGGAUGACCCUCAGCCAUCUCUGUGGUUGGUGGAGAAAUCUGUACAUUUCUCCUUGACUAUAGAAGUUAGGGAAGUAGAACAAAUGGACUGCUACACCUGGAAACCUAAGCCAGCAGCCUGGAAUUACAGGCAUUGCACACAAGUUGGUGUCUGCUUUUCCAUCAACUUGUAAAUUCCUGGAGAGGAGGACCUCAAGACAUUCUCCCUUGUUUUCUUCACAGCCAGGGAUGAUAUUGAAGAUAGUUAACACCCAGUGCAGCACAGGCACCAACCAACUCAAAUGGACGCUGGUCUUAGGCAAUUUGUAUGGCUAUACUAGUGGAUACAGCUGAAUAUUUGUUCUGCACACGGAAGGCAUCCAAUAAAAGAUCGUUGGAUUGAAUUUCAUUGGUUUGGUCAUCAUGGCCUUGCCACCUUUGUUCCAGAUAAAUGGAUCUGUAUGAGAGAAGCAGCUCUGGCACAUGCACACUUGCGGAUGCCGUUCAUCUGCUUUUCUCCUGGGACUACCAGGAAAUAAAUUAGCUAUCAGAUCAGAGCAAACCAAAAUUUAAAAGAUCAUAAAUGAAAAAUGAAUGUGUUGUUAUUUGACUUUUUUGUAUCGUUAUUCAUAGAUUUUCUUAAAGUAAUAAUCAGAGAACAUCAUCAACUAAAAUAUGUUUAUAACCCAAGUCAGUGACGAACUUGGUAAACACGGC
rnacentral:lncRNA from 1 species